UGAAGUCUGAGCUUUUUGGUGGAACUC
rnacentral:piRNA from 1 species